rnacentral:lncRNA from 1 species
AGAAAACAUACUAUUCGAGCGGUUAUUACGUAGACCAGUAACCAUCCAGUGGCCAGUAACCGUCAUCCAAAAUUCCAUGACCGUCACAGCCGUAGUAUCAACAAAAACAACAGGAUGUUCAACACGGAACUGUGGUUCCCUCUGGGGUGCAAGGGGUUAAUGCCACUGGCCCAGUGUUCAGUGCAUAGAGAAGUGGCUCUUUUCUAUACAGGUCAGACUCUCUGCCGUCCAUCUUUAUUUCCCAUCCCUUCGUCCUUCCAUCCCUCUGUCCGCCUGUGGAUAUUCCAGAUAUGAGACUUGCUUCAUGGAGAUUGCUGUAGAUGGCUGAGGAGCUGUGUACCGG